GAGUGAACGCUGGCGGUAGGCCUAACACAUGCAAGUCGAACGGCAGCACAGUAAGAGCUUGCUCUUUUGGGUGGCGAGUGGCGGACGGGUGAGGAAUACAUCGGAAUCUACCUUUUGGUGGGGGAUAACGUAGGGAAACUUACGGUAAUACCGCAUACGCCCUUCGGGGGAAAGCCGGGGACCUUUUAGGCCUGGCGCUGAUAGAUGAGCCGAUGUCGGAUUAGCUAGUUGGUGAGGUAAUGGCUCACCAAGGCGACGAUCCGUAGGUGGUCUGAGAGGAUGAUCAGCCACACUGGAACUGAGACACGGUCCAGACUCCUACGGGAGGCAGCAGUGGGGAAUAUUGGACAAUGGGCGCAAGCCUGAUCCAGCCAUACCGCGUGGGUGAAGAAGGCCUUCGGGUUGUAAAGCCCUUUUGUUGGGAAAGAAAAGCAUUCGGUUAAUACCCGGGU
rnacentral:rRNA from 1 species